AGAGUGUUGAUCCUGGCUCAGAUUGAACGCUGGCGGCAUGCUUUACACAUGCAAGUCGUGCGGCAGCGCGGGACUCAGGCAACUGAGCCCUGGCGGCGAGCGGCGAACGGGUGAGGAAUACAUCGGAACGUGCCCCGGAGUGGGGGAUAACCCAGCGAAAGUUGGACUAAUACCGCAUAUGCUCUGAGGAGGAAAGCAGGGGACUUCGCAAGAGGCCUUGCGCUCUGGGAGCGGCCGAUGUCCGAUUAGCUAGUUGGUGGGGUAAUGGCUCACCGAGGCGACGAUCGGUAGCUGGUCUGAGAGGAUGAUCAGCCACACUGGGACUGAGACACGGCCCAGACUCCUACGGGAGGCAGCAGUGGGGAAGUCUUGGACAAUGGGGGCAACCCUGAUCCAUCCAGUGCCGCGUGCGGGAUGAAGGCCUUCGGGUUGUAAACCGCUUUUGGUCUGGAGGANAUGGCACGCUUGAAUACUGCCUGUCUAUGACGGUACCGGCAGACUAAGCACCGGCUAACUACAUGCCAGCAGCCGCGGUACUACGUAUGGUGCGAGCGUCACUCAGAAUGACUGGGCGUACAGCAUGCGUCGGCGGCUUCGUCAUGUCAGCUGAUGACAGGCACCUAGGCUCAACCCUGGGCACAUGUCANUUGCCCAACUGGGCGGGGCUCGCAUGGCUAGACUNAUUUGCGCGGCUGCGAAAUUUCGGCGCGGUGGUACCCACCCUGGAGGGCUCCCGUUNGGACCAUUGACGGUACCGGAACCCACCGCCAUUAGGCCAAAAGUGGCAAUUUC
rnacentral:rRNA from 1 species